GACUCCUCCUGGUCCUUGACCACCAUAGCCUCCUGAAGAAUAUGCACGAUACACAUGUAGAUGAAGACAAAACAAGCCUUACUCCUGGACCAAACCCCUGAUACCUGCACCAGCUCCUCCCGGUCCGGCUCCUCCACCAGGCUGAAAUCCAGUCCCGGCUCCUCCGUAUCCUGUUCCAGUUCCACCUGGUCCAAAUCCAGCUCCAGGUCCUGCACCAGCUCCUACACCAGCUCCAGCUCCUCCACCAGCACCAGCAGGUGCUGAGCUGCUGCACACAUGCAGUAAAGAGGACCCACCUCCUUGCAGUGAUGGUUUCCACAGAGCCAGGAGAAGGACUCCGUGUAGGUAACAACAAGGAUAUCAACGUACGCCCCAUCGUGCGGAGAGGGCCGACCAUUCGAUGCCGGAGUAUUCACUUACCACAGGCACUGCACAAGGUCAGGGGGCUGGCAGCGGAGACAGGAAGAGAUGAUGUCAUCACCCGGGGAAUAUCUCUGAAUCCCUCCCCACUUGGAUGUUUAAUUUACAGCACAUUAGCCAAAGUGAUUCCACAUUGUUACAUGUGACCUACUUUAAUGUGUAAUGUGCAUUUGCUAUUGGACAUAUGGCACCGAACAUGACUCUGGUGCCGCUACAUCCAGGGUGACAUAACCUCGCCUUCCACUCAGCCAUGACUUGUUAGUUUUAGCUUGUUUAAUAUUUAUAAUACACACUACAGUGUGUACAUGUUUCUCUCUUUUCAUAGUGUUCGCUAAAUACAUA